GUUUUUUUUUUUUUCUUCAAUUGUGGAUCAAAAACAAUAGAAAGCAAAAGCAGGUUAGACUCUAAAGGAGCACUUUUUUUCAUAGCAGCGCGUAAAAAUUGUCAAUUAAUGAAAUAUUUAUGCUGACAAUACUAUCCUUUUCUCCUAUGCUUCGUUCAAUUUCCACCUUUCCCUAUUUCUCUCGCGCUCUCUCCUCUCCCUCUCAUCUAGUUCGGGCACAGACCCAUCUAUCCUCUUCAUCUCCUCUGGUUCAAGCACUCUUCACCAACAACAGGUUUUAGGUAGAAGUGCUUUGGUCGCUCACGAGGAUCUUAACGGUGGUUCUGACAAAACAACACAAAUGUAGGAUCACCUUUGGGUGUUGUAUAAUUAGUAUUCGUCCUACUGGACUGCACUUAGGCUACUUAUACUCUGAUUGUGUUUAUCACACUUAAUCUUGCAUUAUAAUGUUAUCUUAGCUAGUAUUGCUAGUAGUUUGGUUUUUAUUUA